rnacentral:rRNA from 1 species
UACAGAGGGGGCAAGCGUUGUUCGGAAUUACUGGGCGUAAAGGGCGCGUAGGCGGCCUUCUAAGUCGAACGUGAAAGCCCUCGGCUCAACCGAGGAAGUGCAUACGAAACUGGCGAGCUUGAAUAUGGAAGAGGGUCGCGGAAUUCCCGGUGUAGAGGUGAAAUUCGUAGAUAUCGGGAGGAACACCAGUGGCGAAGGCGGCGACCUGGGCCAAUAUUGACGCUUAAGCGCGAAAGCGUGGGGAGCAAACAGG